ACUCCGGUAGCUCAGUUGGACAGAGCGGCGGAUUCCUAAUCCGCAGGUCGUGGGUUCAACUCCCGCCCGGGGUACCA
rnacentral:tRNA from 1 species